UAGGGAAUAUUGGGCAAUGGGCGCAAGCCUGAUCCAGCCAUGCCGCGUGCAGGAAGAAGCAUCUAUGGUGUGUAGACUGCUUUUGUACGGGAAGAAACACUCCUACGUGUAGGAGCUUGACGGUACCGUAAGAAUAAGGAUCGGCUAACUCCGUGCCAGCAGCCGCGGUAAUACGGAGGAUCCAAGCGUUAUCCGGAUUCAUUGGGUUUAAAGGGUCCGUAGGCGGUUUAGUAAGUCAGUGGUGAAAGCCCAUCGCCCAACGAUGGAACGGCCAUUGAUACUGCUAGACUUGAAUUAUUAGGAAGUAACUAGAAUAUGUAGUGUAGCGGUGAAAUGCUUAGAUAUUACAUGGAAUACCAAUUGCGAAGGCAGGUUACUACUAAUGGAUUGACGCUGAGGGACGAAAGCGUGGGGAGCGAACA
rnacentral:rRNA from 1 species